UACGCAUACGAUCUAUGGAUGAAANCGGGGGAUCGCAAGACCUCGCGCGAUUGGAGCGGCCGAUAUCAGAUUAGGUAGUUGGUGAGGUAAAGGCUCACCAAGCCGACGAUCUGUAGCUGGUCUGAGAGGACGACCAGCACACUGGGACUGAGACACGGCCCAGACUCCUACGGGAGGCAGCAGUGGGGAAUUUUGGACAAUGGGCGCAAGCCUGAUCCAGCAAUGCCGCGUGCAGGAUGAAGGCCCUCGGGUUGUAAACUGCUUUUGUACGGAACGAAAAGGUUUCUAUUAAUACUAGGAGCUCAUGACGGUACCGUAAGAAUAAGCACCGGCUAACUACGUG
rnacentral:rRNA from 1 species